rnacentral:rRNA from 1 species
CGUAGGGUGCGAGCGUUGUCCGGAAUUACUGGGCGUAAAGAGCUCGUAGGUGGUCUGUCGCGUCAUUUGUGAAAGACCCGGGGCGUUAACUACCGGGUUGGGCAGGUGAUACGGGCAUGACUGGAGUACUGUAGGGGGAGACUGGAAUUCCUGGUGUAGCGGUGAAAUGCGCAGAUAUCAGGAGGAACACCGGUGGCGAAGGCGGGUCUCUAGGGCAGUAACUGACGCUGAAGGAGCGAAAGCAUGGGUAGCGAACAGGAUU